rnacentral:rRNA from 1 species
CCUACGGGGGACAGCAGUGGGGAAUAUUGCGCAAUGGGCGAAAGCCUGACGCAGCGACGCCGCGUGAGGGAUGAAGGUCUUCGGAUCGUAAACCUCUGUCAGCAGGGAAGAACGGUCACUGUGCUAAUCAGCAGUGAAUUGACGGUACCUGCAAAGGAAGCACCGGCUAACUCCGUGCCAGCAGCCGCGGUAAUCCGGAGGGUGCGAGCGUUAAUCGGAAUUACUGGGCGUAAAGCGCUCGUAGGCGGUAUGUCAAGUCAAGGGUGAAAUCCCCGCGCGCAACGUGGGAACUGCCUUUGAAACUGGCAAACUGGAGUGUGUGAGAGGAUAGUGGAAUUCCAGGUGUAGGAGUGAAAGCCGUAGAUAUCUGGAGGAACAUCAGUGGCGAAGGCGACUAUCUGGCACAUAACUGACGCUGAGGAGCGAAAGCGUGGGUAGCAAACAGGAUUAGAUACCCCAGUAGUC